rnacentral:rRNA from 1 species
CUACGCACUCCUACGGGAGGCAGCAGUGGGGAAUAUUGCACAAUCGGGCGCAAGCCUGAUGCAGCCAUGCCGCGUGUAUGAAGAAGGCCUUCGGGUUGUAAAGUACUUUCAGCAGUGAGGAAGGUGGGUAUGUUAAUAGCAUACUCAUUUGACGUUAGCUGCAGAAGAAGCACCGGCUAACUCCGUGCCAGCAGCCGCGGUAAUACGGAGGGUGCGAGCGUUAAUCGGAAUUACUGGGCGUAAAGCGCAUGCAGGUGGUUUGUUAAGUCAGAUGUGAAAGCCCGGGGCUCAACCUCGGAAUUGCAUUUGAAACUGGCAAACUAGAGUACUGUAGAGGGGGGUAGAAUUUCAGGUGUAGCGGUGAAAUGCGUAGAGAUCUGAAGGAAUACCGGUGGCGAAGGCGGCCCCCUGGACAGAUACUGACACUCAGAUGCGAAAGCGUGGGGAGCAAACAGGAUUAGAUACCCUGGUAG